rnacentral:lncRNA from 1 species
AUGCCCAAGAAUAAAGGUAAAGGAGGUAAAAAUAGACGCAGGGGUAAGAAUGAGAAUGAAUCUGAAAAAAGAGAACUGGUAUUCAAAGAGGAUGGUCAGGAGUAUGCUCAGGUAAUCAAAAUGUUGGGAAAUGGACGGCUAGAAGCAAUGUGUUUCGAUGGUGUAAAGAGGUUAUGUCACAUCAGAGGAAAAUUGAGAAAAAAGGUUUGGAUAAAUACCUCGGACAUUAUUUUGGUUGGUCUCCGAGACUACCAGGAUAACAAAGCUGAUGUAAUUUUAAAAUACAAUGCAGACGAAGCUAGAAGUCUGCAGGCAUACGGCGAGCUUCCAGAGCAUGCUAAAAUCAAUGAAACUGAUACAUUUGGUCCUGGAGAUGAUGAUGAAAUUCAGUUUGAUGACAUUGGAGAUGAUGAUGAAGAUAUUGAUGACAUCUAA